AUUGAACGCUGGCGGCAGGCCUAACACAUGCAAGUCGAACGGUAACAGGAAGCAGCUUGCUGCUUUGCUGACGAGUGGCGGACGGGUGAGUAAUGUCUGGGAAACUGCCUGAUGGAGGGGGAUAACUACUGGAAACGGUAGCUAAUACCGCAUAACGUCGCAAGACCAAAGGGGGGGACCUUCGGGCCUCUUGCCAUCGGAUGUGCCCAGAUGGGAUUAGCUAGUAGGUGGGGUAACGGCUCACCUAGGCGACGAUCCCUAGCUGGUCUGAGAGGAUGACCAGCCACACUGGAACUGAGACACGGUCCAGACUCCUACGGGAGGCAGCAGUGGGGAAUAUUGCACAAUGGGCGCAAGCCUGAUGCAGCCAUGCCGCGUGUAUGAAGAAGGCCUUCGGGUUGUAAAGUACUUUCAGCGGGGAGGAAGGGAGUAAAGUUAAUACCUUGGCUCAUUGACGUUACCCGCAGAAGAAGCACCGGCUAACUCCGUG
rnacentral:rRNA from 1 species